GGCGGACGGGUGAGUAACGCGUGGGAAUCUGCCUAUUAGUGGGGGGACAACCUGGUGAAAACCAGGCUAAUACCGCAUACGCCCUACGGGGGAAAGCAGGGGAUCUUCGGACCUUGCGCUAAUAGAUGAGCCCGCGUUAGAUUAGCUAGUUGGUAGGGUAAAGGCCUACCAAGGCGACGAUCUAUAGCUGGUCUGAGAGGACGAUCAGCCACACUGGGACUGAGACACGGCCCAG
rnacentral:rRNA from 1 species